rnacentral:rRNA from 1 species
GCUUGUCUCAAAGAUUAAGCCAUGCAUGUCUAAGUAUAAACAUCUUUAUACUGUGAAACUGCGUACAGCUCAUUAUAUCAGUAAUUAUUUAUUUGAUGGUCACUUACUACAUGGAUAACCGUAGUAAUUCUAGAGCUAAUACAUGCGUCAAACCUCGACUUCUGGGAGAGGUGUAUUUAUUAGAUGGAAACCAAUGCGGGGCAACCCGGUAUAUGGUGAUUCAUAAUAACUUUCGGAUCGAUCUUCGGAUCGAUGCAUCAUUCAAGUUUCUGCCCUAUCAGCUUUGGAUGGUAGGGUAUUGGCCUACCAUGGCUUUAACGGGUAACGGAGAAUUAGGGUUCGAUUCCGGAGAGGGAGCCUGAGAAAUGGCUACCACAUCCAAGGAAGGCAGCAGG